AAUUUUACCGGUCGCCAUUGCCAGAAGAACGGCUAUCAGUAGGCUACCAACGUCCAGAAGAGAGGACACCGGAUGGCUUAUGAAAGCAUUGUUUCGGACACAAGUAAAAGGAGAAGAAUGCUGCUCAGCUGGGUCGGUGAAGCUCUUGGAUAUCAUCAGCAUCUAUGAAGGCACCGGUAGGCACAGAGUCAUUCCGGUAGGCACGGAGUCGUUCCUCGAUGGACGUGAUGACCUGGCACCAAAACCGCUUAAUGUGUAUGAAGCUGUCUGCAUCGAGGGAAGAACCCAGUACUGAAAUGACACAAGUAAAAGGAGAAGAAUGCUGCUCAGCUGGGUCGGCGGUCACACUACUUAUUCAAGAAGCUCUUGGAUAUCAUUGGCAUG